GUUCACUCACAGGAACCUGUCUACCCAGGGUCUCAUAAUGCUUUUGCUUGUGGAAUGCCGCUCCCUGCCUGUUCUGGCCCAAUGGCGAGCAAGUAGGAGGUUGUUAAUCACCCCGGUGUGAAUGCAUACGUAGGUACCACAAGCAUUUCUACUACAACUGCCACAGCUGAUAAUGCGUGUGCAUGCAGUGACUGUUCCAUCCUUGGAUUGUUA